rnacentral:lncRNA from 1 species
GUCAGCUUGACUAAGCCAUGUGGUGGUGACCAGAGUUUGGUUAAACAUUUUGGAUGUGGCUGUGAGGGUGUUUCUAUACAAGAAAAAUAUUUGGAUCAAUAGACUUGAGUAAACCAGAUUGCCCUUCCUAAGGUAGAUGGUCUUUACUGAUCAAAUCCAGUGAGUCCUGAAUAUAACAAAAGGCCAUGUAGGGGAAUAUUCACUUCUUCUGCCUGGAUAUUUUAGAGCUGGGACAUUGUCCUUCCCUGCAUUUACAGGAACUGCAUCACUAGCCAUCCUGGGUCUACAGUUUGUGGGCAGACUCAGCCUACAUAAGUGCAUGAACCAUUUCCUUAUAACUCCUCUCUUUUUCCAUUUAUAUGGUCUCCCAUUGGUUCUGUUUUCCUGGAGAACCUUGAGUAAUAACAAUAUUUCUUUAUACAAUACUUUCUGAAAAUCAUAAUUAUAUAUUUAUUCACCUGUUUACGUUGUUGGCAUAUCUCUAUAAUGUGAAAUAAAUCUUGUGAAGGCAAAUUGCUUGUCUUUGCUCACUACUGUGUAACCAACAUCUAGCAUACUGCUUGGAAUGUGAAGGUAAUAAAUAAAUUUAUGUUAAUUAAAAAAUUAGGGAGAGGGAGC